AGAGUUUGAUCAUGGCUCAGGAUGAACGCUGGCGGCGUGCUUAACACAUGCAAGUCGAACGUGAUCCAUUAGCAAUAGUGGUGAAAGUGGCGAACGGGUGAGUAACACGUAGAUAACCUACCCUGAAGCGGGGGAUAACGAUUGGAAACGGUCGCUAAUACCGCAUGAGCCUAUUGAAGCGGGAGUGAGAUAGGGAAAUUCAGGUGCUUUAGGCGGGGUCUGCGUCCGAUUAGCUAGUUGGUGAGGUAACGGCUCACCAAGGCGACGAUCGGUAGCUGGUCUGAGAGGACGAUCAGCCACACGGGAACUGAGACACGGUCCCGACUCCUACGGGGGGCAGCAGUGAGGAAUAUUGGGCAAUGGGCGGAAGCCUGACCCAGCAACGCCGCGUGGAGGAUGAAGGCCUUCGGGUCGUAAACUCCUUUUGACGGGGAAGAGGAAGGACGGUACCCGUCGAAUAAGUCACGGCUAACUACGUG
rnacentral:rRNA from 1 species